UCGAAACCUGCCCAGCAGAACCACCGGCGCACUUGUCACCGAAACACGGGGGAUGCAGGCUGGUCCUGCUCCUCCUCUGCGGCGCGGUCGAGGCUCCUGCCGUGGCCCUCUACCGAGUAGGGGCACCGGCCGGAGAAUCGGCCCUCCGUCCCAACAUCAUCCGGCGCGGAAUGCGUCAAGGAAUAAGAAUGUGAAAACACGCCCUNCGUUCGUGCUCGAAUAUUCGACGGAACGGAGCGGCCGUGUGUCGUAUUAACAAGAAUCCCGUGAACCAUCGAGUCUUUGAACGCAAGUUGCGCCCGAAGCCAUUUGGUCGAGGGCACGUCUGCCUGGGCGUCACGCAACACGUCGCACCCAAUGCCUUUGCACUCACAACGGGUGCCUCGGCCGUCGGGGCGGAGAUUGGCCUCCCGUGCGCCUGCAGGCGCGCGGUUGGCCUAAAGAGGGAGAUCAUGGCGACGAGGGCCACGGCGUUAGGUGGUUGGUUGUCCCGGGCUUUAUCCCGGGCGCGGAUCACGCCGUGCGCCUUAGGCCGUCCGUGCUUCGGCUAGGGCCUUGAAGAAGCCGCUCGUACGGCUUUACGGAU
rnacentral:rRNA from 1 species